UACAGAGGUCCCGAGCGUUGUUCGGAUUCAUUGGGCGUAAAGGGCGCGUAGGCGGCCUUCUAAGUCGAACGUGAAAUCCCCGGGCUCAACCCGGGAACUGCGUCCGAUACUGGAAGGCUUGAAUCCGGGAGAGGGAUGCGGAAUUCCAGGUGUAGCGGUGAAAUGCGUAGAUAUCUGGAGGAACACCGGUGGCGAAGGCGGCAUCCUGGACCAACACUGACGCUGAGGAGCGAAAGCCAGGGGAGCAAACGGG
rnacentral:rRNA from 1 species